rnacentral:rRNA from 1 species
UACGUAGGUGACAAGCGUUGUCCGGAUUUACUGGGCGUAAAGAGCGCGCAGGCGGUCGAUCAAGUCGAGUGUGAAAGCCCCCGGCUCAACUGGGGAGGGUCAUUCGAUACUGAUCGACUCGAAGGCAGGAGAGGGUAGUGGAAUUCCCGGUGUAGUGGUGAAAUGCGUAGAUAUCUGGAGGAACACCGGUGGCGAAGGCGGCAUCCUGGACCAAUACUGACGCUGAGGAGCGAAAGCCAGGGGAGCAAACGGG